rnacentral:rRNA from 1 species
UACGUAGGGUCCGAGCGUUGUCCGGAAUUAUUGGGCGUAAAGAGCUCGUAGGCGGUCUGUCGCGUCGGCUGUGAAAACCCGGGGCUCAACUCCGGGCCUGCAGUCGAUACGGGCAGACUAGAGUUCGGUAGGGGAGACUGGGAUUCCUGGUGUAGCGGUGGAAUGCGUAGAGAUCGGGAAGAACAUCAGUGGCGAAGGCGGUCUGCUGGGCCGUUGCUGACGCUGAGGCGCGACAGCGUGGGGAGCAAACAGG